rnacentral:rRNA from 1 species
GACGAACGCUGGCGGCGUGCUUAACACAUGCAAGUCGAACGGAAAGGCCCUGCUUUUGUGGGGUGCUCGAGUGGCGAACGGGUGAGUAACACGUGAGUAACCUGCCCUUGACUUUGGGAUAACUUCAGGAAACUGGGGCUAAUACCGGAUAGGAGCUCCUGCUGCAUGGUGGGGGUUGGAAAGUUUCGGCGGUUGGGGAUGGACUCUCGGCUUAUCAGCUUGUUGGUGGGGUAGUGGCUUACCAAGGCUUUGCCGGGUAGCCGGCCUGAGAGGGUGACCGGCCACAUUGGGACUGAGAUACGGACCAGACUCAUACGGGAGGCAGCAGUGGGGAAUAUUGCACAAUGGGCGGAAGCCUGAUGCAGCGACGCCGCGUGCGGGAUGACGGCCUUCGGGUUGUAAACCGCUUUCGCCUGUGACGAAGCGUGAGUGACGGUAAUGGGUAAAGAAGCACCGGCUAACUACGUG